rnacentral:rRNA from 1 species
AUGAACGCUGGCGGCGUGCCUAAUACAUGCAAGUCGAGCGAACAGACGAGGAGCUUGCUCCUCUGACGUUAGCGGCGGACGGGUGAGUAACACGUGGAUAACCUACCUAUAAGACUGGGAUAACUUCGGGAAACCGGAGCUAAUACCGGAUAAUAUAUUGAACCGCAUGGUUCAAUAGUGAAAGACGGUUUUGCUGUCACUUAUAGAUGGAUCCGCGCCGCAUUAGCUAGUUGGUAAGGUAACGGCUUACCAAGGCAACGAUGCGUAGCCGACCUGAGAGGGUGAUCGGCCACACUGGAACUGAGACACGGUCCAGACUCCUACGGGAGGCAGCAGUAGGGAAUCUUCCGCAAAGGGCGAAAGCCUGACGGAGCAACGCCGCGUGAGUGAUGAAGGUCUUCGGAUCGUAAAACUCUGUUAUUAGGGAAGAACAAAUGUGUAAGAAACUAUGCACGUCUUGACGGUACCUAAUCAGAAAGCCACGGCUAACUACGUG